rnacentral:rRNA from 1 species
AGAGUUUGAUCAUGGCUCAGGAAUGAACGCUGGCGGCGUGCCUAAUACAUGCAAGUCGAGCGAACCACUUCGGUGGUGAGCGGCGAACGGGUGAGUAACACGUAGGUGAUCUGCCCAUCAGACGGGGACAACGAUUGGACACGAUCGCUAAUACCGGAUAGGACGAAAGUUUAAAGGUGCUUCUGGCACCGCUGAUGGAUGAGCCUGCGGCGCAUUAGCUAGUUGGUAGGGUAAAGGCCUACCAAGGCGACGAUGCGUAGCCGACCUGAGAGGGUGAACGGCCACACUGGGACUGAGACACGGCCCAGACUCCUACGGGAGGCGGCAGUAGGGAAUCUUCGGCAAUGGGCGAAAGCCUGACCGAGCAACGCCGCGUGAACGAUGAAGGCCUUCGGGUUGUAAAAUUCUGUUAUAAGGGAAGAACGACUUUAGUAGGAAAUGGCUAGAGUGUGACGGUACCUUAUGAGAAAGCCACGGCUAACUACGUG